rnacentral:rRNA from 1 species
UACGGGGGGGGCAAGCGUUGUUCGGAAUUACUGGGCGUAAAGGGUUUGUAGGUGGCCAACUAAGUCAGACGUGAAAUCCCUCAGCUUAACUGGGGAACUGCGUCUGAGACUGGAUGGCUUGAGUGCAGGAGAGGAACGCGGAAUUCCAGGUGUAGCGGUGAAAUGCGUAGAUAUCUGGAGGAGCACCGGUGGCGAAGGCGGCGUUCUGGACUGCAACUGACACUGAAAAACGAAAGCCAGGGGAGCAAACGGG